GGAGGCGACUGUGGACCUGGUGGCCACCCCGGUCUUCAAAACCGGUGAGGGGGUGAGAGCCCUCUGGCGGGUUCGAUUCCCGUCCGCCUCCGCCG
rnacentral:tRNA from 1 species